rnacentral:rRNA from 1 species
UGAGGAAUAUUGGUCAAUGGGCGCAAGCCUGAACCAGCCAUCCCGCGUGAAGGAAGAAGGCGCUAUGCGUUGUAAACUUCUUUUCCAGGGGGAGAAUUUUUCCGUCGUGACGGGAAUUGACGGUACUCUGGGAAUAAGCAUCGGCUAACUCCGUGCCAGCAGCCGCGGUAAUACGGAGGAUGCGAGCGUUAUCCGGAUUUAUUGGGUUUAAAGGGUGCGUAGGCGGAUAGAUAAGUCAGUGGUGAAAUUCUGCAGCUUAACUGUAGACUUGCCGUUGAUACUGUCAGUCUUGAGUAUGGUCAAGGCAGGCGGAAUGUGUAAUGUAGCGGUGAAAUGCUUAGAUAUUACACAGAACACCGAUUGCGAAGGCAGCUUGCUGGGCCAUUACUGACGCUGAUGCACGAAAGCGUGGGGAUCGAACAG